CUACGGGGUGCAGCAGUGAGGAAUAUUGCACAAUGGGGGGAACCCUGAUGCAGCAACGCCGCGUGGAGGAUGACGCAUUUCGGUGUGUAAACUCCUUUUAUAUGUCAAGAAAAUGACGGUAGCAUAUGAAUAAGCACCGGCUAACUCCGUGCCAGCAGCCGCGGUAAUACGGAGGGUGCAAGCGUUACUCGGAAUCACUGGGCGUAAAGGACGCGUAGGCGGGUUGGAAAGUCAGGUGUGAAAUCCUACAGCUUAACUGUAGAACUGCACUUGAAACUUCUAAUCUAGAGUAUGGGAGGGGGAGAUGGAAUUAGUGGUGUAGGGGUAAAAUCCGUAGAUAUCACUAGGAAUACCUAAAGCGAAGGCGAUCUCCUGGAACAUUACUGACGCUCAGGUGCGAAAGCGUGGGGAGCAAACAGGAUUAGAUACCCCAGUAGUC
rnacentral:rRNA from 1 species